AAUCCAAACAAUCCAAACAAUAUUUCAAUGAAUCAAACUAAACAAAAGUCCAAGGCAUUUCAAUUAAAAAACAAUUUCUUAACAAACUUCAAAGACAACUUGGUCAACAUCAUUAAUUUUUUCAGACAUUAUAGAAUUCCGACAAGCUGCUCAGAACUUGGACUGAAUCCAAUCAAUUGUCUUAAUAUCAACUUGAAAUGACUUGGCAAGAAGAUCAUUGGGAAUCGCAGGUGUCGAUCCAAAAACAGCAUUUGCAAUUGUAAUAACACCAGGGUUUUGGCUGCUAAGAGCUGCAAUGGCAACAGCAUUUGUAUAUCCAACAUUACGUUGGAAAUGGACAAGCCCUACCGGAAAAACAAAAACAUCACCCUNG
rnacentral:lncRNA from 1 species